GCCUGGCUGGUUCAGUCAGUAGAACACCUGACUCUUGAUGUCAGGUCGUGAGUUUGAGCCCCAUGUUGGGUA
rnacentral:tRNA from 1 species